GUGGUCAGGUAGAAAAUACUAAGGCGAGCGGGUGAACUGUGGUUAAGGAACUCGGCAAAAUGCCCCCGUAACUUCGGAAGAAGGGGGACCACACGACUUAAACCAGUCUUUGCGCUGGUGGUGGGUUGUGGGGUCGCAGAGAAUAGAGGGAAGCGACUGUUUAUCAAAAACACAGGUCCAUGCGAAGACGUUAAGUUGAUGUAUAUGGACUGACGCCUGCCCGGUGCUGGAAGGUUAAGAGGACCGGUUAGUCAACUUUGUUGGCGAAGCUGAGAAUUUAAGCCCCAGUAAACGGCGGUGGUAACUAUAACCAUCCUAAGGUAGCGAAAUUCCUUGUCGGGUAAGUUCCGACCUGCACGAAUGGCGUAACGAUGGCCACACUGUCUCCUCCCGAGACUCAGCGAAGUUGAAGUGUUUGUGAUGAUGCAAUCUACCCGCGGCUAGACGGAAAGACCCCAUGAACCUUUACUGCAGCUUUGCAUUGGACUUUGAACCGGUCUGUGUAGGAUAGGUGGGAGGCUAUGAAGCGUGGACGCCAGUCUGCGUGGAGCCGUCCUUGAAAUACCACCCUGGUAAUGUUGAGGUUCUAACUCUGUCCCGUAAUCCGGGACGAGGACCAUGUCUGGUGGGUAGUUUGACUGG
rnacentral:rRNA from 1 species